GGCGGACGGGUGAGUAAUGCUUGGGGAUCUGCCCGGUCGUGGGGGACAACAGUUGGAAACGACUGCUAAUACCGCAUAAUCCCUUCGGGGCAAAGCAGGGGACUCUUCGGAACCUUGCGCGAUCGGAUGAACCCAAGUGAGAUUAGCUAGUUGGUGAGGUAAAGGCUCACCAAGGCGACGAUCUCUAGCUGGUUUGAGAGGAUGAUCAGCCACACUGGAACUGAGACACGGUCCAGACUCCUACGGGAGGCAGCAGUGGGGAAUAUUGCACAAUGGGCGCAAGCCUGAUGCAGCCAUGCCGCGUGUGUGAAGAAGGCCUUCGGGUUGUAAAGCACUUUCAGCGAGGAGGAAAGGUUAACGGUUAAUACCCGUUAGCUGUGACGUUACUCGCAGAANAAGCACCGGCUAACUCCGUGCCAGCAGCCGCGGUAAUACGGAGGGUGCGAGCGUUAAUCGGAAUUACUGGGCGUAAAGCGCAUGCAGGCGGUCUGGUCAGUCAGAUGUGAUAGCCCCGGGCUCAACCUGGGAAUUGCAUUUGAUACUGCCAGACUAGAGUCUUGUAGAGGGGGGUAGAAUUUCAGGUGUAGCGGUGAAAUGCGUAGAGAUCUGAAGGAAUACCAGUGGCGAAG
rnacentral:rRNA from 1 species